CUUCACAGAAACCAGGCCGGCCAAUUUUGGUCGGCGAUCUUGGUGCUUCGGCCACAACCAAUCGUGAGAUUGGUUGGAAAAGGACCGAUAAGGGCCGGCAAUCACGUCUGGGCUAAUGCUUAGCCACCUCAGCCACUCACGACGCCGUUGCGAGCUCGGAAAGGUAUGUGGAUUUCGAGUUUUCCUACUUCGUUUUCGGCGACUCCGACGGUUGUUUCCGUCGAUCGAGAGGUAUUUCUUUUUACCUUUGCGAUUGUUUCUGGUGAAAUUGUGGACAAUUGGAGGUGGUUUUUGCAAAGGAUAUCGGAUGUCUUG